ACACACGUGCUACAAUGGUCGGUACAGAGGGUUGCCAAGCCGCGAGGUGGAGCUAAUCCCAGAAAACCGAUCGUAGUCCGGAUCGCAGUCUGCAACUCGACUGCGUGAAGUCGGAAUCGCUAGUAAUCGCGGAUCAGCAUGCCGCGGUGAAUACGUUCCCAGGCCUUGUACACACCGCCCGUCACACCAUGGGAGUUGGAUUCACUCGAAG
rnacentral:rRNA from 1 species